rnacentral:rRNA from 1 species
UUUUAUGGAGAGUUUGAUCCUGGCUCAGAGUGAACGCUGGCGGCGUGCCUAAUACAUGCAAGUCGAACGAUGAAGCUUCUAGCUUGCUAGAAGUGGAUUAGUGGCGCACGGGUGAGUAACGCAUAGGUCAUGUGCCUCUUAGUUUGGGAUAGCCAUUGGAAACGAUGAUUAAUACCAGAUACUCCCUACGGGGGAAAGAUUUAUCGCUAAGAGAUCAGCCUAUGUCCUAUCAGCUUGUUGGUAAGGUAAUGGCUUACCAAGGCUAUGACGGGUAUCCGGCCUGAGAGGGUGAACGGACACACUGGAACUGAGACACGGUCCAGACUCCUACGGGAGGCAGCAGUAGGGAAUAUUGCUCAAUGGGGGAAACCCUGAAGCAGCAACGCCGCGUGGAGGAUGAAGGUUUUAGGAUUGUAAACUCCUUUUGUUAGAGAAGAUAAUGACGGUAUCUAACGAAUAAGCACCGGCUAACUCCGUGCCAGCAGCCGCGGUAAUACGGAGGGUGCAAGCGUUACUCGGAAUCACUGGGCGUAAAGAGCGCGUAGGCGGGAUAGUCAGUCAGGUGUGAAAUCCUAUGGCUUAACCAUAGAACUGCAUUUGAAACUACUAUUCUAGAGUGUGGGAGAGGUAGGUGGAAUUCUUGGUGUAGGGGUAAAAUCCGUAGAGAUCAAGAGGAAUACUCAUUGCGAAGGCGACCUGCUGGAACAUUACUGACGCUGAUUGCGCGAAAGCGUGGGGAGCAAACAGGAUUAGAUACCCUGGUAGUCCACGCCCUAAACGAUGGAUGCUAGUUGUUGGAGGGCUUAGUCUCUCCAGUAAUGCAGCUAACGCAUUAAGCAUCCCGCCUGGGGAGUACGGUCGCAAGAUUAAAACUCAAAGGAAUAGACGGGGACCCGCACAAGCGGUGGAGCAUGUGGUUUAAUUCGAAGAUACACGAAGAACCUUACCUAGGCUUGACAUUGAGAGAAUCCGCUAGAAAUAGUGGAGUGUCUGGCUUGCUAGACCUUGAAAACAGGUGCUGCACGGCUGUCGUCAGCUCGUGUCGUGAGAUGUUGGGUUAAGUCCCGCAACGAGCGCAACCCCCUUUCUUAGUUGCUAACAGGUUAUGCUGAGAACUCUAAGGAUACUGCCUCCGUAAGGAGGAGGAAGGUGGGGACGACGUCAAGUCAUCAUGGCCCUUACGCCUAGGGCUACACACGUGCUACAAUGGGGUGCACAAAGAGAAGCAAUACUGCGAAGUGGAGCCAAUCUUCAAAACGCCUCUCAGUUCGGAUUGUAGGCUGCAACUCGCCUGCAUGAAGCUGGAAUCGCUAGUAAUCGCAAAUCAGCCAUGUUGCGGUGAAUACGUUCCCGGGUCUUGUACUCACCGCCCGUCACACCAUGGGAGUUGUGUUUGCCUUAAGUCAGGAUGCUAAAUUAGCUACUGCCCACGGCACACACAGCGACUGGGGUGAAGUCGUAACAAGGUAACCGUAGGUGAACCUGCGGUUGGAUCACCUCCUUUCUAGA